rnacentral:lncRNA from 1 species
AAGCAUACAGCCUUAUACAUCCACGACAAAGAAAUAUUUUACAUACGACAAAAAAAAAGAAGAAAAUUUUUACAUAUCCAAGUUGUGGGCCCAAAACGAAUUCUGUGUGGAAGCCAUUCCAGAUGGCCUGAAAUUGGGCCUGAAUAAUCGUCUAGGCCCUCGAUUUUUUUGAACAUGUGAAUUUUUUUUUAAUUAAAAAUUCAAAAAGACACGGUGUCAAGCAGCUGAAGAGAGUUGAUUGUCUUUUAUAUAAGAUAAUAAAGUUAAAUUAAGAAACUUAUUUAAAAAUUUAUGUUUUUUUUAAGUAUAUUGGAGAAAUCCAAAUAGAUUUUUUUAAAAAAAAUAUUUUUAAUUCAUAUCUAAAGAGACUCAUAGUUUGUAAUCUAAACCAUACUUUGUAAUUUUCAUAAUUUAGAAAAUGUUUUAAAUUCUUACAGAUCAAACUGAGUAAGAAAAUAGAGGGGAAAAAAAAACUUGGUUUAACUAGUUGUGUUGCUUCAAUAAACAAAUUAAAACAAACAGCCGAUGAUUUUUUAACUAGUUGUGUUGCUUAAUCAUCAGGCUUAUCCACGUGCAGUUGUUUCUUCUUACCUAAGAAACACAGGUAAACCAGCAAAAUCUGAUCAUUUCAGAAACAGAGACAUGCUUAAGCUUAAGAACAAAUAGUCCACAAGUUCUAUAAACCAAAAAGAAACCAACAUAUAAAGACGAAUCAAGAAAAUAGAGUGAAUGUGUGUACCUGUCUUCUUUUUGCCAGCAG